rnacentral:rRNA from 1 species
UACGUAGGGUCCGAGCGUUGUCCGGAUUCAUUGGGCGUAAAGAGCUCGUAGGCGGUUCCGUAAGUCGGAUGUGAAAACUCAGGCUCAACUCGGAGACGCCACUCGAUACUGCCAUGACUUGAGUCCGGUAGGGGAGUGCGGAAUUCCUGGUGUAGCGGUGAAAUGCGCAGAUAUCAGGAGGAACACCGGUGACGAAGGCGGCACUCUGGGCCGGGUACUGACGUGAGGAGCGAAAGCGUGGGGAGCGAACAGG